AGAGUUUGAUCCUGGCUCAGGACGAACGCUGGCGGCGUGCUUAACACAUGCAAGUCGAACGAUGAAGCCUAGCUUGCUAGGUGGAUUAGUGGCGAACGGGUGAGUAAUACGUGAGUAACCUACCUUUAACUCUGGGAUAAGCCUGGGAAACUGGGUCUAAUACCGGAUACGACCAAUCUCCGCAUGGGGUGUUGGUGGAAAGCGUUAUGUAGUGGUUAUAGAUGGGCUCACGGCCUAUCAGCUUGUUGGUGAGGUAACGGCUCACCAAGGCGACGACGGGUAGCCGGCCUGAGAGGGUGACCGGCCACACUGGGACUGAGACACGGCCCAGACUCCUACGGGAGGCAGCAGUGGGGAAUAUUGCACAAUGGGCGCAAGCCUGAUGCAGCGACGCCGCGUGAGGGAUGACGGCCUUCGGGUUGUAAACCUCUGUUAGCAGGGAAGAAGAGAGAUUGACGGUACCUGCAGAGAAAGCGCCGGCUAACUACGUGCCAGCAGCCGCGGUAAUACGUAGGGCGCGAGCGUUGUCCGGAAUUAUUGGGCGUAAAGAGCUUGUAGGCGGUUUGUCGCGUCUGCUGUGAAAGGCCGGGGCUUAACUCCGUGUAUUGCAGUGGGUACGGGCAGACUAGAGUGCAGUAGGGGAGACUGGAAUUCCUGGUGUAGCGGUGGAAUGCGCAGAUAUCAGGAGGAACACCAGUGGCGAAGGCGGUUCUCUGGGCCUUUCCUGACGCUGAGGAGCGAAAGCGUGGGGAGCGAACAGGCUUAGAUACCCUGGUAGUCCACGCUGUAAACGGUGGGUACUAGGUGUGGGGUCCAUUCCACGGGUUCCGUGCCGUAGCUAACGCUUUAAGUACCCCGCCUGGGGAGUACGGCCGCAAGGCUAAAACUCAAAGGAAUUGACGGGGCCCCGCACAAGCGGCGGAGCAUGCGGAUUAAUUCGAUGCAACGCGAAGAACCUUACCAAGGCUUGACAUAUACUGGACCGCAUCAGAGAUGGGUGUUUCCCUUCGGGGCUGGUAUACAGGUGGUGCAUGGUUGUCGUCAGCUCGUGUCGUGAGAUGUUGGGUUAAGUCCCGCAACGAGCGCAACCCUUGUUCACUGUUGCCAGCACGUUAUGGUGGGGACUCAUAGGAGACUGCCGGGGUCAACUCGGAGGAAGGUGGGGAUGACGUCAAAUCAUCAUGCCCCUUAUGUCUUGGGCUUCACGCAUGCUACAAUGGCCGGUACAGAGGGUUGCGAUACUGUGAGGUGGAGCUAAUCCCUAAAAGCCGGUCUCAGUUCGGAUUGGGGUCUGCAACUCGACCCCAUGAAGUCGGAGUCGCUAGUAAUCGCAGAUCAGCAACGCUGCGGUGAAUACGUUCCCGGGCCUUGUACACACCGCCCGUCACACCACGAGAGUUUGUAACACCCGAAGUCGGUGAGGUAACCGUAAGGAGCCAGCCGCCUAAGGUGGGAUAGAUGAUUGGGGUGAAGUCGUAACAAGGUAGCCGUACUGGAAGGUGCGGCUG
rnacentral:rRNA from 1 species